AUGUCCGUUAAUGGUUCAGAAGUUGCGCCCGUAUUGGGGCGUCGGGAAGUAGAGAUAUCUGGGGUCAACCAUUACCUGAAUGAGGCCCAACGAGACGCGUUGAAGUACCUAAAGGAGAAGGCCCAUGAGAUGCAGCUCGGCGUUAUACGGAUGACGGACGCCUUUGCUCCCGGCAUGGAGGCUGCAACUCGGGACAACGAGCGUUUGGAGAAGGAAAUAGUCCGGCUCAAGACUCUGCUCGGGGAAGCCGAGCAGAAGAAUGAAAAUCUCUCCAAAAGUCUUAGUGACUCCAUGGUACUUGAAAGGCGUAUGACCGAGUUGAGGAACCAGCUCAAUUCCAGCAACCAACAGCUCCAGGACAUCCAAAAAGAGGCCCAAAAGACUACUGCCAAACUUGUGCAAGAACAAGAGGCGUGCCAGGCGGCCUGGGAUGCAUCCGGCCUACUUCAGCAGGAGCUCAAGAAGAGCCAGGCUGAGUGCGACCAGCUGAAGGCCGAGAAGACCAGGCUGGGUGACCAAAUUAAACUGCUCGAGUAUAGUCUGAAGGAAUCCAACCUCGUCCGCCGCAAUGCUCGAGACGAAGUAGAGCAAGCCAAGCAGAUUGUCGAUGGUGAACCAUAUCUUCUCCAAUGCCGAUUUGGAAGCAACAGCUAUGCCGCGCUAACUCAAGUUUGGCACCACGCAGAGAUCUUCGCCGGCCUGCCCCAGAGUGCUGCGAGCGCCCACAAAUACUAUCAAGGGCUCAAUGAUCCUGAGCAGGAGGUGCUUCGGGCUUUCUGGGCGCAGUUCCAAGAAACCAGCCGGCUUGACCUUCUCCCCGAUAGACUGAAGCAAAUCGGCGAGCUGCUCAAUCUGAUCAAGCCGACAAUGGAAGAGAUAUUUAUGACAUUGUGGCCCAGGGAUGACGUUCCGGCCAACUUCUUCGACUUAGCAAUCCGACUCCAGCGCGCCCCGCCCCAGAUAAUGAAGUUGAAGUCUUCAAAGACCGAGAAGAAGCUCGCUAAGCAUGGGCAACGCUAA
rnacentral:rRNA from 1 species